UCCUCGAUAGCUCAACGGUAGAGCAUCCGGCUGUUAACCGGAGGGUUGCAGGUUCGAAUCCUGCUCGAGGAG
rfam:Carboxydothermus hydrogenoformans Z-2901, complete genome.